rnacentral:rRNA from 1 species
AGAGUUUGAUCCUGGCUCAGAUUGAACGCUGGCGGCAUGCCUUACACAUGCAAGUCGAACGGCAGCACGGACUUCGGUCUGGUGGCGAGUGGCGAACGGGUGAGUAAUGUAUCGGAACGUGCCUGGUAGUGGGGGAUAACUAGUCGAAAGAUUAGCUAAUACCGCAUACGACCUACAGGUGAAAGCAGGGGACCUUCGGGCCUUGUGCUAUCAGAGCGGCCGAUAUCUGAUUAGCUAGUUGGUGGGGUAAAGGCCCACCAAGGCGACGAUCAGUAGCUGGUUUGAGAGAACGACCAGUCACACUGGAACUGAGACACGGUCCAGACUCCUACGGGAGGCAGCAGUGGGGAAUAUUGGACAAUGGGGCAACCCUGAUCCAGCCAUGCCGCGUGUGUGAAGAAGGCCUUCGGGUUGUAAAGCACUUUAAGUGGGGAGGAAGGCUCGCUGGUUAAUAGUCAGCGGGAGUGACGUUACCCACAGAAUAAGCACCGGCAAACUCCGUG